AAUAAACGCUGGCGGCGUGCCUAACACAUGCAAGUCGAGCGAGAAAGCUCCUUCGGGAGUAAGUAAAGCGGCGAACGGGUGAGCAACGCGUGAGAAUCUACCCUUUAGUGAAGAAUACCCUCGAGAAAUCGAGGCUAAUACUGCAUAAGUCCCUUCGGGGAGAAAGAUGGCCUCUUUGCUAUCGCUAAAGGAUGAGCUUGCGUACUAUUAGCUAGUUGGCGGGGUAACGGCCCACCAAGGCAAUGAUGGUUAACCGGCCUGAGAGGGUGUACGGUCACACUGGAACUUAGACACGGUCCAGACUCCUACGGGAGGCAGCAGUGAGGAAUCUUGCGCAAUGGGCGAAAGCCUGACGCAGCGACGCCGCGUGAAGGAUGAAGGUCUUCGGAUUGUAAACUUCUGUUAAGCGGGAAGAAAGGCCUGUUUCUAAUACAGACAGGAUAUGACGGUACCGCUAGAGAAAGCACCGGCUAACUUCGUGCCAGCAGCCGCAGUAAAAC
rnacentral:rRNA from 1 species